GUGAGAAGUUGUGCUGUUGGAGAGACUGAGCUGUAUACACCAUACUAGGUACAAGGAAGGAGACCCUGAGUAGCACCUAGAUGCUUCAACCAGAGCCCACUGAGCUGGCUACUACACAAGCAUAAGAAAUGACAUCUCCUGCCUUGAAGACCUUAUAACCUAAAAGGACCCAUUUGACAGCCACCAUAAAGUCAACAGACAGCACCACAGCUCAUGUGGUCUUCAAGGAGAUACUGCAUUGGAAAGGUGGUUUCCAGGGACCCUGCAUCUGCUCUGAAUGGCCGAGAGUCUCUGUUCCAGGCAAGACAAAUAGUUCUUGCUGACAGCUGUGCCCUAGUCAGUUGUGUAACACCAGGCCUAGAAGUUCUCUAAUGGCCUGAAGAUUACACUUAAGGAACAUUUAGCACUACCUGCAGGUAGUGCUAAGAUUGUCUCAUGGGAUUGUAGAUGAGAUAUGAUAUGCAAUUUUCCUCUUCUGAUCACUGGUUCGCAUCCAGACCAGGUUGGUAUCAGACAGUUUUCUAGGAACCUCUCUGCAAUGCAAAAGUCAGUAUGGUUUCCUUAGGAAAUCCCACUUGGAGCAGAUCAAUAAUGCCUGCCUCAUUAGAAACCUCAGCUGAGAGGCCAAAGAUUGAAUGGGCUAGAAGAAUGAACCAUCCUCUCCCUCUAUAGCUGGGCAUUCCAGAUCAAGGUCCAGAUGAAGAGUGAGACCUGAGGGAAGCUUGGUCUGCUGCUGCCCAUGUUGUGUCUGGCAUACGUGCAUAAACUAUCCCAGUCUCCAGAGCUAUCUGUCAGACUUUU